GAGCACGUAGGUGGGUUUGUAAGUCAGAUGUGAAAGCCUUCUGUUCAACGGAAGAAUUGCAUCUGAAACUGCGAGUCUUGAGUGUAGGAGGGGAGAAUGGAACUUCUGGUGGAGCGGUGAAGUGCGUAGAUAUCAGAAGGAACUCCGGCGGCGAAAGCGAUUCUCUGGCCUAUUACUGACACUCAGUGUGCGAAAGCUAGGGGAGCAAACGGGAUUAGAUACCCCGGUAGUCCUAGCCGUAAACGAUGGGCACUAAGUAGAGGGGUUUU
rnacentral:rRNA from 1 species